rnacentral:rRNA from 1 species
CCUACGGGAGGCAGCAGUGGGGGAUAUUGCACAAUGGGGGAAACCCUGAUGCAGCGACGCCGCGUGAGUGAAGAAGUAUUUCGGUAUGUAAAGCUCUAUCAGCAGGGAAGAAAAUGACAGUACCUGACCCAGAAGCCCCGGCUAAAUACGUGCCAGCAGCCGCGGUAAUACGUAGGGGGCAAGCGGUAUCCGGAAUUACUGGGGGUAAAGGGAGCGUAGACGGUUAUGUAAGUCUGGAGGGAAAGCCCGGGGCUCAACCCCGGGACUGCUUUGGAAACUGUGUAACUGGAGUACAGGAGAGGCAGGCGGAAUUCCUGGUGUAGCGGUGAAAUGCGUAGAUAUCAGGAAGAACACCGAUGGCGAAGGCAGCCUACUGGACUGAAACUGACGUUGAGGCUCGAAAGCGUGGGGAGCAAACAGGAUUAGAUACCCGGGUAGUC